GGCGAUUUUGAGCGCCCUUCGCAGACAACGCUUGCUUUGCACAGACUCAAUGGAGGGGAGCGAGGAACCGGUGAUGCGUUGGGCAAUUUUCACCACCAUCUGCAAUGCCUUCCGGUCGGAGACAGAGCAGUUGCCAUACCAUACUGUGAUACAGUUGGUAAGGAUGCUCUCGAUGGUGCAGUGGUAGAAGUUCACCAGAAUCUGAGGAGACAGACAUUUGGAUGGGCAAGGAAUGAUUAGGGACCAUAAAAACAUGCUUUUGUACUAAGGAGGUCGUGUCUCACAAAUCUGAUUGAUUUUUUUGAAGACGUGACAAAAAAGGUUGAUGAAGGCAGAACUGUAGAUGUUGUGUACAUGGACUUCAGUAAGGUGUUCAACAAGGUGCCGCAUGGUAGGCUGCUCUGGAAGGUUAGAUCUCAUUGGAUCCAAGGAGAGAUAGCGAUAUAAUGUUGAAAGUAAUAUACUACCAAUUUGCAUUCAGAAUAAUGAGGUGCUUGAAAGCUGCUCAUUGCUGUAUUAUUUAUAUUACCUCACAAAACAUUACCUGCACCAGCAAGAAAUAGAAUAAACGAAAAAUUGCAGAUGCUGACAUCUGGAGCAUAAAAACAAACUCCAAGAGGAACUCAGCGAGUCAAGCAGCAUCCGUGGAGACAAGGGGGAUAGCUGGUGUUUGGAGUAACUCAGUGGGACAGGCAACAUCUCUGGAGAGAAGGAAUGGGUGACGUAUAAGGUUGAGGCCCCAGUAAGAAGUGCCUCAACCCGAAACAUCACCCAUUCCUUCAGUCCAGAGAUUCUACCUGUCCCGCUGAGUUACUUCAGCAUUUUGUGUCUAUCUUCGGUUUAGAAACAUAGAAAAUAGAUGCAGGAGGAGGCCAUCGGCCCUUCGAGCCAGAACCAUCAUUCAUUGUGAUCAUGGCUGAUCGUCCCCUAUCAAUAACCCGUGCCUGUCUUCUUCCCAUAUCCCUUGGCCUCCACUGCCCUCUCUGGCAGGGAAUUCCAUAAAUUCACAACUCUCUGGGUGAAAAACUUUUUUUUCACCUCAGUCUUAAAUGAUCCUUGGUUCUUGGGGUGGCCCUUGGUUCUGGACCCGCCCCACAUUGGGACCAUUUUUCCUGCAUCUAGCUUGUCCAGUCCUUUUAUAAUUUUAUAUGUUUCUAUAAGAUCCACCCUCAUCUUUCUAAACUCCAGUGAAUCCAAGCCUAGUCUUUUCAAUCUUUCCUGAUAUGACAGUCCCGCCAUCCCAGGGAUCAAUCUCGUGAACCUACAUUGCACUGCCUCAAUCACAAGGAUGUCCUUCCUCAAAUUAGGAGACCAAAAUUGUGCACAAUACUCCAGAUGUGGUCUCACCAGAGCCCUAUACAACUGCAGAAGAACCUCUUUACUCCUAUACUGAAAUCCUCUUGUUAUGAAGGCCAAUAUUCCAUUAGCUUUCUUCACUGCCUGCUGUACCUGUAAGCCAACUUUCAGCGACUGGUGUACAAGGACGCCCUGGUCUCGCUGCACCUCCUCCUUACCUAACCUAAACCAGCAUCUGCAGUUCCUUCUUAUACAGCUGAUGUUUGGGUUGGAGACCCUUUACCAGGACUGAGAAUGUAGAGAGGAGAUUGCCUUUAUAAAGAGGUGAGAGGGGAGGGCAAGUCAGGGAUGACAGGUGAAACGAAGUUGAUGGCAUUAAACCAUUUGUUUAACUUGGGCUCUUACAUAUUUCCUUUGUCAUUCGACUGACAAAGAAUAACUUUAAUGUCCCAUUUUAUUUAAAAAACAACAAAAAUAGGAUUUUAAUUUUACCUUCAUCGCUAAAAAGUAAAAGUAGAUUUCAAAACAUGUUAUUAAAUGAAUGGCUGUUUAGGCAUGAUACCUUAUGUGUGUUAUUUGAGUUACAAAGGAAAUAUUUACAGUAAAAAUAUGACACUUUUGGGGAAAUCUCCCAUCAUCUUGCUUUGUUGCAAUCAACUAAAUUGCAUUGAUGGUCGCUUCAAAGCUCACUGAAGGAAGGAAGUCUUUAGCAAGUGAAGAUGACCUAACAGUACUGAGUAAAAUCAUUGGCAGCUACACUGCACCAAUCUCUGGAUGCUUAUACAAAGGACGGAAAAUUGCUGGCGCCACUGGGCCUCACUUCGGGUCACCGUAGAGCUGAAAAUACGAAAUGCUAUGCCAUGAUAAUGAGUGUACUGGAGGAAGGUGAGGGAUGGUACGAGUCCCUGUGUGCAUUAAUCACACGGGGCAAAAGGCUUUUGGCAGGCUGAUGCUGACAACUUCAGUUUCACAGCAUAUGCGGCUGGAAAGGGGAGGCACCAGAAUAACUUUAAAGGCAUCAAAUAUCCUCCCUGACGCUGGAUGGAAAGCUCAUCUAGAAGGUGACAGGAUGAAAUGUGAAACCUGCAGAAGCACUUAGAGACAACGACGAGUCAUUCACAAUUGAAUGAGCCAAGAAAGGUAGGAGUACUAAUGAAAAUUAAAUGGAACUGGAAAUAUUCAGAAGAGACUGGCAGUAAUAUCCUUUGGCAGUAGAUAUCAAAACGUAGAUAUUAACUCUUUGCUACAGUAGGACAAAUCUUUAAAAAAAAGAGAAAACAGAAAUAUAUUUGUAUUUCAAAUGUUCUGCCCCAUUAAUGUGAGUGCUGCCAGAUUGGUUAAGCCUCCUUAGGAAUUCGCAGAACUUCUCAAACCGGAAUUCUGAGCUCAUCCAAAUAUUAAGAAGGGAUCAAGCUUUUUUUAAGGCCCUGUUUGGAAAACUGAUGUAGGAGAAUAUUUGAUUUGACCAUUCAACCAGAAAAAAACAUGGCAUGACUCUCAGGAAUAGCAAGACCUAGCAGUUUCCCAACCAGCAUUAAGAGGUCGUGGCUCAGAGCUUAAUCUUCUAAAAAAGACAAAUCCACUGCCCCAGGAAUCAACCUGGUGAACUUUUGCUGUACACUCCUUCUUGGAAAACACAUCCUUCCUAAGGACAUAUAACAAUAAAACACUCUUGAUGACUUGAUUCACUGGUGGAUUUGCCACUCAGUCCAGUGUCAGAGCAUUGAUGUACUGAGCAGGGGGACCAGAAGCAGUUCGCAAAUUGUGGCAGUAGCAUGACCCUGAAUGAAAAGUCUCCGCAGCUAAGUCUGUUUUUCACUGGCAGCUUUUGCAUGAGAGAUUCUGAGAACCAUGUUCAAAAUUGAUCAGAGGAAAAAGGGAAGCUGAGAAUGUGGAAGAAAAGAAUCAAACUUAAGAGAAUUAUCCACAGGGCAGAGCACCAAAACCAACAGGUCUACCAAGGCCGGUUAUGCAGCCGAGGAUCAAAAGAGUUUUUAGUGAAAGCAACAUUGGCUGCAAGCAGAGAAUUGUGGACGCACCGCAGACCAUCGCUCAAACGUACCCCCCUUCCAUUGAUUCCAUUUACACCUCAUGCUGCCACGGCAAGGCCACCAGCAUAAGCAAGGACAUGUCGCACCCUGGCCAUUCCCUCUUCUCCCCUCUCUCAUCAGGCAAGAGGUAUAGAAGUGUGAAAACACACACGUCCAGAUUCAGGGACAGUAUCUUCCCAGCUAGUUGGUAACUGAACUAACUCGAGAGCAAUUCUGAGCUACUGUCUACUUCAUUGGAGACUCUUGGACUAGUGUUGUUCGGACUUUACUGGACUUUACCUUGCACUCAACGUUAUUCACAUUAUUUUCUUUAUCAUGUAUUUGUACACUGUAAAUGGCUCGAUUAUAAUAAUGUAUUGUCUUUCUGCUGACAGUUUAGCACACAACAGAAGCUUUUCACUGUACCUCGGUGCACGUGACAAUAAACUAAACACAACUCAACUUGAAUUUCAUCUCGGAGUUUGGACCCAUAAGAAAAAAUGGCAGUGUUAACUAAUCCUAUGAAAGUAAAGCAGUUGCAAUCACUUCAAUUUCCACCGUGCAUUUGACCAAUAUUCCCAAAGAGACAUACAGAGUUGGCAGCUAAUUGUCGUAAGGCUCUCCAGACUACUCAUAAACAAUGCGAAACGUGAUCCACUAGCUUUGUAAAUGCUUUCUCUAUGCUAUGAAGAAAUCAGUUAUAGUCUGGGCAUCUGAAGCAACACAGAGAACAUUUGCUUUGUUUGUAUACUCUGAUCUUGGUCAGUAAUUUUAAAGCAUUUGUUGAGACAAUUACUUAUGAUGAAGCUUUUAAUCUAGAAGAAAACCACUACUGAUUUAUUUUCCACUUCUUUACAUAAAACAGUUUCACUGAUAAAACCCUUUGAAUAAAUGUAAUUGAGUCAAACAAAUCAAGGCAUUCCUAGGUUGUCUCCCUACUGUGAUGAGUUAAUUGAUCUCAUAUGCUCUCUGCUUGAUCUCAGCUGUAACUCUCCAUGUAAGAAAAUGCUGUUUAGCACUACACCUAAUUGCUCAGAUCUCAAAAGAUUCCUGUUCAGUUACACAUCAUGUUGCUGUCAUAAUGAUAGGUGUUUAAUUCAGAAAUUAUUCCCUUGACUCUGAUCCACAUUAAAUGGUGUACAAUUACGUCACGAUGCAGCAAAUCUGGCAGUAACAGAAUGAAAAUAAAUGGGUUUAGAGUACAUUGGGAACUCUAACACAAAAUUGAACAACAAAUUGAGCGAUAAAAGGGUUAAAGCAAGAGGCCAUUAUGAGGAGAUUGCGUUGAAAUCUUCCUGUUGAGAGUUCCUUUGAGAAAGAGUGGGAAAGGAACAAUAUUAAUAGCUGGUGCCUUGUUGUAUUUUCCCACAGGCCUGAACAGGAUCUCCAGAUCAGUUCUGCCUUAUGACAAGGCGACCUGAACCUAAGAGCACAGUGGAAAUAAUGCAGGGCCUCAUGCAGAGGAAGCAUAAUGUUCUGAGAAACAGGUCCAGUAAGGUGCGAACUGGCUCUGAUCGCCAGUUUCCUAACAAAAUACACUAUUUAUGCAGCUAUUUAGUGAAAAGAAUUUUAUGCCAAGAUUUAAUUUCAUGCUGAUUUAAAAUAACCUUGGAGGCAUUCCUAUUACUUGACAUUAAUAUACAUGAUAGGACAGACUAUUACUGUUGCUGGUAUUUUUGGUUCCCAGAGCAUAUUUGUCUGUCUUAGCCAUCUCACUAAAAGGUGACUGGGCAUUUCUGUUAAAUUACAGAAUAACUGAAGUUUUGGUAUCGUAAAAACACCUCAGCAUGAGUGUUUAAAUUUACAAUCUGACAAAGAAUAAUUAUGAAUGCUAGGAUUAAGGAUUAAGUAGAAUUCCCUUUUAUUUUGUGGCAAGUUUGAUCAGAUAGUUGAUUAGUACGAGUGUCAGGGGUUAGGGGGUGAAGGCAGGAGAAUGGGGUUAAGAGAUAGAUCAGCCAUGAUUGAAUGGCAGAGUAGACUCGAUGGGCCGAAUGGCCUAAUUCUGCUCCUAUCACUUACAAAUUUAUAAACAGAAACAGGACAUUGUGUGAUGUCAUGAUUUUUGAGGACGGCGGCUGUGUAUGGUUGAAUUUGAAAUGAAUUGACUUCUCUGCCACAGAAGGUAGUUGAGGCCAGUUCAUUGGCUAUAUUUAAGAGGGAGUUAGAUGUGGCCCUUGUGGCUAAAGGGAUCAGGGGGUAUGGAGAGAAGGCAGGUACAGGAUACUGAGUUGGAUGAUCAGCCAUGAUCAUAUUGAAUGGCGGUGCAGUCUCGAAGGGCCCAAUGGCCUACUCCUACACCUAUUUUCUAUGUUUCUAUGUUCUACGUUUCUAUGUUUCAGAAUUGCAAUAAAAAGAUGCAGUCAAUAAACAAACUGGAGCCAUUGUUUAUUGUGAAUUAUAUCAUG